rfam:Spinacia oleracea cultivar SynViroflay scaffold86859.con0098.1, whole genome shotgun sequence.
UUGGUUAGAACUCAACACAGGUUGGCGCCGUAACGACGCCGACACAUAGGCUCGCCACGCC